AUUGAACGCUGGCGGCAGGCCUAACACAUGCAAGUCGAACGAGUGGCGGACGGGUGAGUAAUGUCUGGGAAACUGCACGAUGGAGGGGGAUAACUACUGGAAACGGUAGCUAAUACCGCAUACCAUCGGAUGUGCCCAGAUGGGAUUAGCUUGUAGGUGAGGUAACGGCUCACCUAGGCGACGAUCCCUAGCUGGUCUGAGAGAAUGACCAGCCAAACUGGAACUGAGACACGAUCCAGACCACUACGGGGGGCAGUAGUGGGGAAUAUUGCAAAAUGGGCGCAAGCCUGAUGCAGGCAUGCCGGGUGUAUGAAGAAGGCCUUCGGAUUGUAAAGGACUUGCAGCGGGGAGGCGUUACCCGCAGAAGAAGCGCCGGCUAAUGCCGUGCCAGCAGCCGCGGUAAUC
rnacentral:rRNA from 1 species